AAAGUCGUAACAAGGUUUCCGUAGGUGAACCUGCGGAAGGAUCAUUAACAAGGCAUACAUACUACCCUGUGGCACACACACGAACACACACGCAUACAAACACACACAAACACACACACACAAAACACACAGACUUUUAACAAUGGAUCUCUUGGCUCUU
rnacentral:misc_RNA from 1 species